CUCUCACGGUCUCCGAGCCGGAAGAAAGAGAGGGAAAGAAGGAUACGAAGCACAUCUUCUUCCUAAGAGUCCUCCGCAUCUCUCUCACCGGAGGAAGACAAAAGCCACGCCCAUUUAAAUUGACAACUCGUCGCCAUGAUCUCCGUUAGUAGAAGCCAUUUCCAGAGGUGCGGAAAUCGAGACCGCUUGUAUCACUCGCAGCGGCGGAGCUCGGCGGCGGGGGUGGUGGUGCGGUGCUGCGGAAGAGGAAGAGGAGACGGGAAGGUGAGAGGAGUGGCGAUGGAGAGCACGCUGAAGGAGAUCAGAGGGGACAAGCCGUCGGUGCUCGAUAUGGAUCCCGAGUCCACCGUCGGCGGCGGCGUGGAGGACGUCUACGGCGAGGAUCGGGCCACGGAGGAGCAGCUCGUUACCCCCUGGACCCUAUCUGUCGCCAGUGGUUACACUUUGUUGAGGGAUCCGCACCACAACAAAGGGCUUGCCUUCACCGAGAAGGAGAGAGAUGCCCACUACCUGCGAGGCCUCUUGCCUCCAGUUUGCAUCACUCAGGGGCUUCAGGAGAAGAAGAUCUUGCACAAUCUUCGCCAGUAUCAAGUACCCCUGCAGCGUUACAUGGCAUUAAUGGAUCUUCAAGAGAGAAAUGAGAGGUUGUUUUACAAGCUUCUUAUAGACAAUGUUGAAGAGUUGCUUCCGAUUGUUUACACACCAACAGUUGGUGAGGCUUGCCAAAAGUAUGGGUGCAUCUUUAGGCAUCCACAGGGUCUUUACCUCAGUUUGAAGGAGAAGGGGAAGAUUCUUGAGGUGCUAAAAAACUGGCCUGAGAGGAGCAUUCAGGUUAUUGUGGUCACCGAUGGUGAGCGUAUUUUAGGGCUUGGAGAUCUUGGUUGCCAGGGAAUGGGAAUUCCCGUAGGCAAGCUUUCACUGUAUACGGCCCUUGGAGGAGUUCGCCCAUCAGCAUGCUUACCCAUCACAAUAGAUGUGGGCACAAACAACGAGCAGUUGCUGAAGGAUGAAUUCUAUAUAGGGUUAAGGCAAAGGAGAGCAACUGGCCAGGAAUAUGCUGAAUUUCUCCACGAGUUCAUGUGUGCUGUUAAACAGAACUAUGGGGAAAAAGUCCUCAUUCAGUUUGAAGACUUUGCCAACCACAAUGCAUUUGAACUGCUUUCAAAAUAUGGCACUACUCAUCUUGUUUUCAAUGAUGAUAUUCAGGGGACAGCUUCUGUUGUCCUUGCUGGGCUUGUGGCAGCUCUGAAGCUGGUUGGCGGAACUUUAGCAGAGCACACUUUCUUGUUCCUUGGUGCUGGGGAGGCUGGUACUGGUAUUGCUGAACUGAUAGCUCUUGAAAUGUCAAAACAGACAAAAGCUCCAUUGGAAGAGACUCGGAAGAAGAUUUGGCUUGUGGAUUCUAAGGGAUUAAUUGUGAGGUCACGCAAGGAAUCUCUUCAACACUUCAAGAAACCUUGGGCACAUGAGCAUGAACCUGUCAGUAACCUCUUAGAUGCUGUCAAGGCUAUCAAGCCCACUGUUUUGAUAGGAUCAUCUGGAGUGGGAAAAACUUUCACAAAGGAAGUAGUUGAAGCCAUGGCCUCCUUUAAUGAGAAGCCAAUAAUUCUCGCCCUGUCAAACCCAACUUCUCAAUCUGAAUGCACUGCUGAGGAAGCAUACAGAUGGAGUAAGGGCCGAGCAAUAUUUGCUAGUGGAAGUCCAUUUGAUCCUGUUGAGUUGAACGGCAAGGUUUUUGUGCCAGGCCAGGCCAACAAUGCAUAUAUUUUCCCUGGGUUGGGUCUUGGUUUGGUGAUCUCAGGUGCUAUACGCGUGCACGAUGACAUGCUCCUUGCAGCUUGUGUGCAAGUUUCCUUUGGAGAGAUUAUUUGUUAUAUAUACCAUGAAGCCUGUCUAGCCAGUAUAUGGGGGGCAGAACUUAGGAAAUUUAAGAUUGUUCAUUUAGUUUUGCUGAAGCUCUGGCCCAGCAGGUGACACAGGAGAACUUGGAUAAUAAAGGACUGAUUUACCCGCCCUUCUCAAAUAUUAGAAAGAUAUCUGCUGAUAUUGCUGCUAAUGUGGCUGCUACAGCAUAUGAGCUUGGUUUGGCAACACGGCUCCCUCGUCCGCAGAACCUGGUAAAGUAUGCAGAGAGCUGCAUGUACAGCCCCAUCUACCGCAAUUAUAGAUAAAUGGGGCUUCCAAUUUUGCUGUACUUCAAGAGUUAUGCAUGAUGCCAGUGUAGUAGUGUGGUUGCUUCUCAAUGUGUGUCAAAACAUUUGUCAGCGUGCUUUUGUAAUGUUGUAUGAAGUUGGUCUUGAAGUCUAAGCAUAAAUAUUAUUUCCUAAGGCUAUCAACGCUAGCAAUUUCACCCACAAA